rnacentral:rRNA from 1 species
GACGAACGCUGGCGGCGUGCUUAACACAUGCAAGUCGAGCGGUAAGGCCCUUUCGGGGGUACACGAGCGGCGAACGGGUGAGUAACACGUGGGUGACCUGCCCUCAGCUCUGGGAUAAGCCUGGGAAACCGGGUCUAAUACCGGAUAUGACUCCAUGACGCAUGUUGUGGGGUGGAAAGCCUUGUGCGGCUGAGGAUGGGCCCGCGGCCUAUCAGCUUGUUGGUGGGGUGAUGGCCUACCAAGGCGACGACGGGUAGCCGGCCUGAGAGGGCGACCGGCCACACUGGGACUGAGACACGGCCCAGACUCCGUACGGGAGGCAGCAGGUGGGGAAUCUUGCGC